UAUAUAUAUGUAUGUAUGUAUGUAUAUUGCUGCCCAUUCUUAACAGAGUAAACACAGCUGAGUUUUGCAUCAAUCCCACAAGCUAUGUGUUUGCCAAUCUACAAUGCUUUUCUUUCCCUCUUCCUUCCUUUCAGCAGUAUAUGGCCCUGGUAAUGUCAGACAUGGAAAGAGGAGGACUGAACUUCAUAUGGUACAUUUCUGACCUGUCUUCACUGAGAAGCAAGAAGUAAUUUCCACUGUGACGCAGCAGUUUUCAAAAAGAACUUUGAAAUUUUUGAAGUCAAGCUGCAGUCAAGCUGCACAUAUGGACCCUUCCUAAAAAUACCCGACGGAGACCUACUUACAAAACUGGUGACUUUGUUGAUAUUAUGGAGAAACAGUACUGUGUAACUAGAGAAAUCCUAAAAUAGAGAAUUAGAAUCUUUACCAUCAACUUCAAAGUUGACCCAAAGGCACAAGGAAGGAAAGCAAAACAAAAAAGUUAACACAGUCUAAGGAUUACCUCUUUUCUGCUGGAAACAGAAAGGAAACCUGCUGGAAACCUGCUCUUACUCAUCAGAUCAAAGCUGCUAUAUAUGGUUCUUUUACUGUAGCAGACUACAGAACGAUGAGCUUUUGGCUGAGUAGGGAGAUGGAUAACUUUGUACAGCUCUCAGACUGUUCUGUCCCAAGUUAUUUGUGCAAUCCAUCUGCAGCUUGGUUCUUCCUUUCCUUACCUGCACGUUAUAGACAGCAUUUUACUGAUGCAUAAAAAGAGCUUAAAAGGAGUGACAAAGACAGGGCCAGUAAUAUAUUGUAAAUACACACACAAAAAAAUAAGAGACAUACUAGAAUUUGCAAAAACAUGGAAAACUUAGAGAACAGUUAGAGCAGAAUUCUCAUAUAUCUAUGUCCUGUGUUGUAUUCAUGCUGUCAUCUUUUCGCAUUAUAAAAUAUGAAGCAAUUUGCUGAUUUAUUUGGGACAUCAUCUGCUUGCUACUUAGGCAUGACAUUGUGAACAACUGCACAGCAGGAGAAAAGUAGAACCAUAAAUGAACUGCAGCAGGUAGGCUGCAUCCAGGCAUCACAACACCAGCAGCAAUAGGAACUUACUGAGCGAAAUACUUAGCAAACAAUGUAAGACAUAAUUUUUAGUUACCAAGAAAGUAAAAUUAAGUCACUCUGAAAUUACAAACCCUGAUGCAAAAAAGUAACAAUAAAAGAGCAUUGAGAACAA